rnacentral:snRNA from 13 species
AGCUUUGCACAGUGGCAGUAUCGUAGCCAAUGAGGUGUAUCUGAGGCACAAUUAUUGCUAAUUAAAAAAGAUAACAUUUUUUAAAAUUGAAAGAAGUAAAUAAAUAUCGAUGAUUCCUUUAUAAUAUCUUUAUCUUACUUUACCUAAUACUGCAACUUGACAGAAAGGAUAUUAAGGUAACAUUUUUGAGAUGCUAAAUGUGCCUCUCAUUCUCAGAAGC